rnacentral:misc_RNA from 1 species
GAUGAAGAACGUAGUGAAAUGCGAUAAGUAAUGUGAAUUGCAGAAUUCAGUGAAUCAUCGAAUCUUUGAACGCACAUUGCGCCCGCCAGUAUUCUGGCGGGCAUGCCUGUUCGAGCGUCAUUUCAACCAUCAAGCCCCCGGCUUGUGUUGGGGACCUGCGGCUGCCGCAGGCCCUGAAAUGCAGUGGCGGGCUCGCUGUCACUCCGAGCGUAGUAGUUACAUCUCGCUCUGGGCGUGCUGCGGGUUCCGGCCGUUAAAAGCCUUAUUUACCCAAGGUUGACCUCGGAUCAGGUAGGAAGACCCGCUGAACUUAAGCAUAUCAAUAAGCGGGGA